CACCUCUCAGAGUGGCACCUGGAGACUUUCUAGUUCUCUACCAGUCUUGACUAUGGGAGAAAGAGUCAAGCAGAGGCCUACCCAUUCCAUUCCUAGCUUGAGCAGUGGCUAGCGAGUGGAAGGUAAUCUGCUACAGGA